CCACCAAUGACCGGCCGGCGCAGAGUUUGAAUUCCCGUAGUCGUUCCUCGCGAAGAUUGUCCCAUCGUUUGAACGAUGGUGCGAGAUAUUUUUUCGGGUUCUACCACGAUUGCGAUUUGAAAUCGCGUCUGUCUCGCAUGUACGCGUAAGCUUCCCAUCACGUUUCUACUUGUCAACCCUUGUCAACCCUUUAGAAGAGUAUAUUAACGAGUCUACAAGGGUAAUAAUCAACAUUGAGUGUUUUGCAAUUGCACUUAAUGGCCGCUUUCGCCAAAACGAAUUUUCGCCAUCGCCAAAAUGAAUGUAUUAUAAAAUUUCGAAAUGAACUUGCUUAAAUGUAUAUUUGCUCGCGAUAUUAUUUAUCAGCGUUAAUGAAUUUAUUAUUUAUUAUCAACGAUUUAAUGGGUUUGUCGAUUAAAUGCGUUAACGAUGCAGAUUUAUCUUUUAAAAUAAAUAUAGCCGUCUGCUUCGUAGUCUCGUUCGAUGUGAACAUCGCGUUGAAUGUAUAUUAUUAUUAAUUAUAUGAUUUAAAAACUCGAAUCGCGGUUAUUUUUAAACAUAAAAGGCAGGAAUUUGUACCAUCUGAUAUAAGAAAUGGAUAAAUGAUAUCGCAAAUAUUGCUCGCCGUUAUAUUUACGCCUUUUAAAAUGAAAUCUGUUACUAUUACAAAUAACUCUGUGAAUCUGUACAUUUUCUGCAAAUUCCGUAUUCUGAUUGUAAUCACAAUAUGAUAUGCGAUUUCAGAAACUACAAUGUCAACACAAAACUGUUGCAAGAAAUCUCAUCCGCUUAGUCCCGUUGCACGCGACAUGUGAAUGGCAGGCCGAAUCGGCGAGAAACGCGCAAUGACACACACGAGAUUCCACAUCAUGUUCACGGAUUCGCUUCAUCAAUCUGUAAGUUUGCAAACCAUUACUAGAACUAGUAUUUCGCCUCAUUCCGUUCGAGCACGAAUCGCGACUCGAGAUUCACCUCAUGCCAAGCAAAUAAGCUUCUCUUCGAGCUCAGCUCGAUCCGUAGAUGUUGCCAGCGCUGCAAUAACAAUGAAUUAUUUAUAUUCUCAGUCGUGGCCGCUUCAUAAUUUUCCGUCAAAUUUCCUUGCCUCGUAGAGUAUCUGUGCUUUCCGUAACCUACGUAGCAAUAAGUAUAUUGGGGCGAAUUAAGUUCGCAUGGAGAAUGAAGCGCGUAAUGUGCGGUUUCAUAUUUUCGCAAAAUAUUAGCAGAUUCUCAUCCGCUUUUGGAAGACGCGAUACGAAGGCUGCGAAAAUGUAAUUAAGAAAAGGAAGAAAAUAUGCUUACAUUCAUAUAAUGGUUACCAUCCGCGGCAUUUCGGAUCAUUAUAAAAUAUAUCCUAAAAAUAUUAAAAACAAGAUGUAAAAAGGGCAUAAAAGACGUAAAAGAAGAUAGAAAGAAAAAUUUUUAUAUUAAUUUAUCAUAUGAAAAAACGCGGGGAAAAAAAUAUAAAAGAAAUAUAAAAACAUGUGGAAAUGUUCGCGUAUCAGUUUGGCUAGGAGAAUUUGGGUGUAUUUAAUUAAUUUGAAGUUAAAAUUUUUCUUGACCAAAUGUCAAUAGUUUUUACGUUACGCAUAGACGAAUUUUAUUAAUUAAACUCGAGGGCUUGACAUAACAAAAACUUACUCCUUGUUUAAUUUAAGGUGGAUUUUGUGUUUUAAUGUAGUCCUCUCAAUUUGCCUUGGUUACUGAGAUAAUUAAUGUUGAAUGUUACAAUGAUGGUGGUACAGACAACGCGUCCGAAUAAAUUUUCGCCGAAGGGAAAACCUCUUACGAAUCACAGCCAAACAUACGCGUGGGACUCGCAUUGAGUUCGUGUAAUAUAAUAUCACACCACAUACGCCGGAUAGGCUUUAUCAAUUCCACUUCGUUUACGUCGUUCCAAUUAUAUUUCGUGAGACUUCACCACUUGCGCGACGCAAGAGUGCGCAUAUUCACUCGGACGAGCGUGAUGUUGCAGUAACAAUGAAUUAUGCACUUAAAUCCGCCUUGUGCGGCACGUAGAGAUUUGCUGGGGUUGUCACGGAGAGUUGUGCGAGCGGGCGUCUGUGCGUUCGCAUAGCCCGAAAAUUGUUGGUUUAUAUCACCGACACACACACAUGACAACACACGCAUACAUACGCCGCUGACGCAUAUAAAGAUAUGCAGGUAGACUUACGAACCUCGGCGUUACUUUUUUUGCCCAACCUAGAUCAUCAUGCAAGUUUCCUGCCAUCCGCGCGAGCGGACUAGCGCUUCGUCCGAACAUCGUGAGGGAAAUGUGAAAUUGAAUAAAAAAAUCAUGUUGUGAAAAUGAGAAAUGCAAUCUCGUAACCGCGGGAAAAGUUGCCAGCAUUCGUCUAGACGUAUAAACACAGCAUGACUGUUUAUAAGCACAAAAUCAAACCGCGUGCCGUAAAGAAAAAAGGAACAUUGCAUUUUCGUUUCGCCCGUAAGUGUUUUCCGGAUCACGUCACGUCUGAAGGCGGUAGCGGAGCUCGCAAUCGCGAAAGAGAACAGCCAUCGUCAGCGUGUCGAGUGUUGAGAAGAGAGACGCGAAAUAUUCUUGAAUUUCUUCCGCCACUCAACGAAGACGAAGGCGCGGUAACCCGUUCCUGACGGUUAUCUUACCACUCUCGUUCCCCGUCCGAAAAGCUACGUACGACGCGGAAACGAUACGACGCGAUGAACUCCGGCGUCGUGCAACCGCCCGCACGAAAUCGAUCGAUACUUCGGCCCGAACCGUUGAAAGUUACACAAAGACAAAGUCCGCGGACUCGGGGAAAAUUCAGGAAGCACCGGAAACAGCGACGACGACGCUAUUUGCCUCCGAGUUCGACGUAUCAGUUCGCGUAAUCGAUGCAGCUCUUCGUAUAAAACGUCCUUUGAACGACGGAACGACGGUUAGGCACAUGCAAAUUCCUGUCGAUUGCAAGCGAAGAUCUCUUCAUCCGAUAACAGCGCAGUCACGAGUGCUUUUGCCUUUCUCUGCAAUUUGUAUUCUUUAAUUCGUUUUACGUAAUAUGCAUCAUUUAAUCGCUCCGCACGAGUGCGCGUGCAUGUCCGUUGAAAUUUAGCAAGGCUGGAGUGGCGUUUUUAUGAAUUCGAGAUAAUAAAUUUAAGCGUGGAGGACCGCAAAUCAACGCGGGUGAUACACAAUAACGGCCAACAGAUUAAACUAAAAUUCAUUUCAAAAAUAAUCUCGCGCCGGAUAAUAUUUUACAUUUCGCGCGCGCGACACAUUCUCGAAACUUGAACCCGCUGCAUCUGGAGGAGGGUUGAUAUUCAAACGAUUUAACUCUGAACUAUGUCGCCUCUCGCUAAUGAACCUGCCGUCUCUCGCAAGCUUCGCUACUUCGCGCAUACAGCCGGAGACAAAUCUCUUCCGUGCAGGAUAGUACUCGAGGAUGUAUCCGCCAUCGCGCGAUGCAUCACCGCGCGCAACGUCACAAACGCAUUAACAUGAUUCAAGAUUUAUGUCGCCUUUCGAACAAGCCGGAGACAAGCUUCUUGACGGCGAGAAGAAAAGCGUGUAAUCGCGGAAGCUAAGAAUUGAUUAGGCGACGGUAUAGGCGGAAAACGCGCGGUCCAACGAGGGAGAUUUAUAACGCGAGUUACACUUGUAAUUGUGGAAGUUGCGAGAGUCGUUAUUUCGCGGUCGUAACGAAUUUACCCGUGGAAACGCCGAGGGAAUUAUAUGGUUAGAGGAGAGUUUACCGAUUAAAACACAGAGAUAAGGAAUAUAACGGAAUUUUAGCGGAAACUUUCUCGGCGGGGGAAGGUCAAGAAAUUUUCUUGCCGCGGUGAUUAAUACAGUGCCUUUAAUGCACAAGUGGAAAUUUAAUAUUCUCGGUAAAAUCCGCCGAGGUGUUUUAUUAAGUGACGGUUAAAUAUCCUUCCGCAUUGUUCCCCGAUGAAUCCUCGCGAGCGUGCAUCUUCAAAAUAAAUUCGUACGAUAGACUGGAAAGUGCGCACAACAUUUCUUAUCGGGAUUUCUCUUAACUGAGAACCCGAUAGAUAUUCCAAUGGAGAAAUAUUCUUACAUCGUUAGAUAUCACAGUAUCGAUAGAAGCUACUGAUACUUUAUGAGGCGAGGCUCUCGUUGUAAUAAAUUCUGAUUUUUAUUGCGAAACAACCGACCUUCCGAACGACAAUAGCCGAUUCUCUCGUCGCCACAUUCUUUACGCUUUACCACGAUAUUUUACCUUUUUAGCGUAAGCACGACGAUGCAGACUUUGCAUCUUUCUCUCUUUGUUCGCUUUUCGCUCGUCUUUGCUUUUUCACCAUUGUCUGUUUAUUCGAUUUCCCGGAGAAAAGUUUUUCCAGGCUGACUCUCGAUGUUGCACGCGAUCGCCUUUGCUUGAACGCGCGUCCUUUGUGCUGCGAAUUUAUUUUUAUCGGCGGACGUGCGCUUUCGACGUGCGUGUUAUCCGCCUUCCGGUGUUCGGCUUCCCUCCCUUUACGUUUUCGAAAACCGGCGGCGAGUUUUGCUUCGUAGUGAAAAGCUCGAUGAAGGAAUCGGGAGCCGGGGCCGCUGACAAAAGAGAAACUGCGCUGAAAAAGCUGAACUUCCCACAUCUGGUUGGAAAAGCACCCUGUUAAAACACUCGCGCAGCGUUUCAUACGAGAUCCCCAAUUUUGCUGGCUUUCAUAAACUUAAGCCCUUAACACAUCAAUGUCGCUUGCAGAGGAUUAACGGUAGCGUUAAUACAAGGGCAAUUAUUUCAUUUUUCGAAACGCUAUUCGUGGUUGAAAAUAAUCUCAGCUUCGCUUUUAAUGGUUGAAAGAGAAUUGUAAUUGCUGUAUAUCAAAUUACUGGAUUUUAUAGAUUAUAAUUUCAUAGAAUUCAUAGAAUCAUAAUGGGCCCUUGUAAGAAAUUAGCAUAGAUGGUCCGGGAGAUUCAGGAUGGUGCACUUAUUCAUCAAAUAACAAUCUACUAUAAAUAUCGCUAUUAGAUACAGCGUAUCUAUCCGGUCGAUUAUUGCAUCCUUGUUCAACUUAGCUUAACUGAGCGGAAUUUCAUUGAAUAUAUACGUGCUACGCUUAUGCCAGUACUAUUAUAACAAAUAUUAUUAGGAAUACUGUGCCCAUGAAAAUUCAUCUGGUUAUUUGAAUUCUAUAAUAUCAGGCGAAUCAAACUUCGGUGGAAAGUCAUUCGUAAUAAGCAACAGAUAACAGAUAACACGGCGGAUUGCAGCCGCAAAUUUUAAUUAUCGACAUUUUCCCACGCGAAACUUUUACACGACGUCAUCCCGCUUCUCGAUGUCUCGAUUUUCUUGAACGUGCAAGUUACCGUCUUUGUGCAAAUCACAAGUAUCGCAGACGCCCGUGACGGAGUACAAAGAGACGGAGAAGUUUCGCCCGAGUGCUAGUGCGCGAUGAACUCGAAUUUCUGCUUUCUUCCUUUGUAGCAUUUUCAUUCUGACGUCGCACGUCGACGAUAUUUUUCUUUUCAUCGAAGUUAAGCCGUGUCCGGGCGAAAGAUAAAACUUAUAGUUUAUAACGCGGUACACAUACGUGCCGUAUAUACAGCAGCGACAUUUUUCCCGUGUGACGAUGCCAGACAGUGGUCGACGUAAUUUUAGACACGAGUGGUAUUUUUCCUCGCCGAUAUACGGGCAAUAAAAAGCAGCUAUUUCUGCUUACGUGCUAUUAGUUUUUUUUACAUUCGCAAACAAAAUUGCAGUAUAUAUUUUUUAAUUUUGCUCCGUUUAUUACAGAAUAAAAUUUAUGUUUGACUUCUGGAAGGUAAAGUAUUUUUAGUAUCCUACUGUAACAAGUGACCGCAGAUUUUUUAGCCGUUUGACAACUUUGAUGUUUGUGUUUAAUAUGAAUAAUAGACUUUAGUACACACAUGUUUCCAAAUAUUUGUUUAAAAAUAUUAUUCUAUUUUAAAUACGAAAAUCAAAGAUUGUGAGAAAAAUCAUCCCGACAGUUAUAAAAAUUGUACGUGUAUAUAUAUAUAUAUAUAUAUAUAUAUCCCAGCUAAAAUUGAAUAUUUUGUGAACUUUGGCUAACGAACGAGUACUAGUAAAAUAGUUAACGCGUGGGAAUUGCAGAAGCAAAACAUUGAGAUAUUUAUAAAAUCAUAUAAUGCAGUUUCGUCGAUCAGUUGCCAACAACAAAACUAUAAAUUACGUAUAUGUUUCGAUUAAGUUAAAAUUUAGAUUUAUAGAACGUGUUGAUAUAGCUAAUUAAUAUGAAUGCCGAAUAAUGACUUUUCGAAAUAUUAAUAGUGGUAUUUAUUUAUUGCCUGCAAUUGUCUGCAUCAAUUCUUUAUUAAUACAAUUUGUAAUUCUUCAAAUAUUAUAAAAAUUUACGGAACAAAAUAUUAUAACAAUUUACGUAAUAAUUCACGGAAACUUAAUUAAUUGUAACGUGCUCUGGUCAUCCAAAUGCGUCAACUACAAUUUAUGUAGUUCACAUAUUAUUAUUACGCACAUAUAUGACAAGAUUCCAUAUUUUAUACCUCGUAUUCUUUAAAAACAUUCGCAAUGCGGCAUUUUUAUUUACAGCGAACGCAUCAGUUACUCCAUCUGCUUAAAUAUCUGCUGGAAAGUGCUGGAAAAUGUCUCAUUUUUGACGAUUGCUAAAGCCGAGUAACACCGCUCGUAAUCCUCGCAGUUCGCGUAAGUUUUUCUUUCCUCGAACGCAAAUCUUCUUCACUUCUGCGAUCUCGCGGAGUGAACGAAAUGACAAACGACUCGCGCGUUGUGAUAUUCUUAUGAGAAGUCGCAGUUGUAAUUCUGCAGCAGAUAACCAUGAGUUCUGACCGUCUCGGAUACGGAAACACUUUGUCUUUAUCAACGUCGCGACUUUGUUAGACUAGUUAGAAGAAAUGGUCGUUCUCUUUCUUUUUCUCGGCGACGUAUGAUAGACGAUCCCGUUGGCGACACUUCGGUAACGCACAGUUCGGUAAAGUACACAGCGAAUUAAUAAGAACAGACCGUUAAAGUUUCCUCAAUCUAUCUAUGACGUAAAUUCAAUAGAAGGCGGUAAGAAAGCGAUGCAUUCUUUAUGGCAAGUUUUUAUUUUGAAAUUGCGCUGCCAGUUAAUUUUCGCUGUUAAUGUUAUUCAUGAAAUAUUGGCAUUUUCAGUACGUUCAGUUUUUAAUUAUUGGCCGUCUCGCGAUACGUUAAUGUCGAGGUGUUACUUUGCACCAUACAUCUUUCUGAGAUUUACGAGCAGAAUGUGACAGGCAACUCGUGACGUCGUUGCAAACGAAAUGUAGAUCGUCGAUAAAUCACAUGCGAGCAUCGGUGUGAAGCUUCUACAUUCGAACAAAGGUCCGAAUUUGCGAUCAGAGAAUUGUGUUUUUUGCGCAGAUAAAAAAUGCGGCUCGAUAAAUCAUAGAUGGAAUCGACGGGGCGAAAUAAUUGACGAGAUAUUCUGUGAUUUAUAUCUUGUGAUGAAAUAUAAUGAUGAAGUACAUUGCAUAGCAGAAAAAACUUUCCGUUCUUGUUCUGUGAUGUUUUGCGUUUUUAUACAUAAUUCUAUUUCGCGUUGGUAGCUUUUGCUGAAAGCAUUUCUGGCGAGUUUAUUUGAAAUUAUCGAAAUAUCAUCGAAACGCAAAAAUUCAGCUGCGAACAGUUCAUUUCGGCGCAGUAAUUACAUGGCUAGUAAUUACACGUGUGCUGCAAGUUGUCUCUUCGUCGAUAGCCUAACAAAAUACAUAUAGCGCAAUAUAAAAAUAAUCGUUUGCACUUGCCACGUGAAAAUAAAUGCUCGAAGCUUGACAUUGCCCGACAUCACGCAAAGCUCUUGUUCGUAUCUUGCAAAACCUCUCGUGAAAUUCUCUCGUCCCUUUCUCGGACGAACCCGUCGUGAACGACGCAGUAUAACGCAAUUAAAUCUGACCCAUGUCAAAUUAAUUUCACCGUAUUUUAUGUGACCGCCCCGGGACAGAGCCUUUUACCCAUGUCUCCUUCUUCGUCUGUAUCUCCUUCGUCGCAGACCCAUGAAAUAUCCUCGCCAAACUGCUCGGAAAACAGCGCGGUAUGACAUGGUUAUUUAAUAAUUUCGUUAGAGAUUAAUUCGCUUUUACUCGCGCGUCGGGGUUUGGUCAGUCGUGAAACCGACCGCAAAUCGCGGUUGAAAGCAUGUCCACGUAAUUAAGAUUAUUAAAUAAAGCACGUAAUCUUAAUUACGUGCUUUCAGCUUGUGCUAAAGUAAUCCACAUCUUGAGAAAGUAAUGAUUUUGCUGAUCGUGCAGCGAAAAAUUGAUUCGCCCACGAACCGACUCGGCGUCGAAUGAGUAUUAAUCCAUGAGAAAUGAAUUUCUCGGUCGGUCGGAUUUAACCUGGACGACGAUACGAUAGCGUCAAAGGACACACGUCGAUGUUGGAAGAGAUGCUGAAGUGGAAGCGCAGCGGAUUAAGAGGAUAUUGCGUCACGGCUGUGAGAGAAGCUUGUGAAAUCGGCUUUUUCGGGACGAGGUGUAAUCGGGCUAAACGUAAAGUCCUGCUUGCGUGUGCUUCUCUUGGGAUAACGUAAUUCCUCAAUUAGAAGAGUUCGUAUAGGAAGUCUUUUAUAUUUUAUUUCUUACAUCUGUAUCAUAGAAAGGAGGAAUUCUUCGUAUUUACUAUAUUAGUUACUGUAUUUAACAAAGAUAUAUUGUGUGACAUUGUAAAAUUUUUUCUCAUUAAAAUUAAAUGUUCAAAUUAGUGACAUUAAAAGUUAAAUAUUACAUUAAUAUUUUCGAUACUGAUCGAUUCGAUAUCUUCGAUGUUUAAACGCUCCGCGUGCAAAUCUUUCGACUACGAAUUCAUCGAUUUAUUCAAUUUUUUAUUCUGUAAUUUUACAAUGCACGCCCAAGCUGUUCUGAGAGUUCUCUUGGUACAAUUCCGUGUUGUGUGUGUCAGGAAAAGGAUGCAAGUCUGACAGAUAUGCGUUGUUCUGGACACGGGCGCGACAGCAAGAGAGUUCGUCGCGUCAGCUGGUGGUGCAAUUACAGCAGCAGCAUCGCGGUACCGGCGACGAAUUAAUUCGCAUGCUGGACGCAUUACUCUUCGCGCAUUUAGCUCUACGAGGGGUAAUUCGAGCGACCGCGAUUAAAUUGGAAUUACGUUCCGAUCCGUGGAAAUCUGCGAGCCGCAGCGCCCCGCGCCACAAUUAAUUACAGCCCGACCCGGACUGUGUUUAAUUGCGCCGAUUUGCCGGAAACUUUCGACAGGAACACGAGUGAUCGUCGCCGAGCCGUCCUGUCGGAAAGUCUUUUUCGACUUGGGAAUCGAAAACUUGGGAACCCGCGAGAGAGCCCCGAGGAACGUUCUGCCCCGAGGAAGGAUGAGAAUGAAGCGCGUUCACUCUCCGAACCGCUCAAUCAUGCGAGCGAUCGAAUAUCAAUGCGAAAUUCAUAUCCAAUAUCGCAACCAUAUUUCCCAGGUGUAAUCAAGUUUCUCUAGCCAACUCGCAAUUAAAAUCCACUUGAGUAUACAUUUCACGCAAGUUUGCUUACGAUUAGUUUCUCACGUGCAUGCGAAUUUUUCAUUAUCACACUGAUUUAUUUGAUACGAAAUUUAUGAUGGAUAGAAAGGGGUGAAAGAAUCGCUUCGAAUAUCUGUCGUGUUUCAUCGACGUGAUCCAAUUUUGCACGAUGCUUGGCAUCGUCACGACAUCGUCGUGAAACAUCAGGUUUAAAGAUGCGGCGAUGGCACGCUCCACAUACCUUUCCGAUGCAAACACCAUCGACGAUUUCAAAAUAAAUCGCGUCUCGUCGUUGCAUCUCCAUGCCGUGCAAAACGUUAUUCACCGUGCAUCUCGCUCGUGGAGGAACGCGCCGCAUCGCCCUCGCGUAUCCGCGAGCCCGAACAACACCCAACAAUACAAUAUCGCCGAAUGCAAUCAGUACCCUCACGCGGCGACACUCCAGCAUGCAAUUUCGUACGUGCCCGCUUGAGGAUCGAUGGAUCGCAUGGAUCGCGCCCAAGGAAUCCGGCUGAUUGCACGAGCAUCCGCUCUACCUCUCGCCGUGCGCUUCUUUCCCUUUAUCUUUCCCUCAUCCCUUUUUCUCACGUUCUCGCUCUUGCUCGGCCGCUCUCCUUGAAAGAGGAAUUUUUACGGCGGGAACGAUUUUCAAUUCGGACGGAGGCCUCUGUGUCUCGUUUCUCGCCGUUGUAUCCGCACGAGUGCACCCGCGCAGCGGAUUACAGCGUAGUUCGUAACUGACACGGAGAGUUCGCGGUACCUCGCUUUGAAUACGCGGCCGUCACACUGCGGUAACGAGCCAAUCUGAACUUCAAACAGAACGAGUUGCUGCUUCCCGACCGAAUAUCCGCGACGUGUAUUUCCCGGGGCAGUUCCUCAUCCCGUGCUUUAUAGGGUCGGAUGCUAAUUUUAAAACACGACCGGAAUGCUUCAUCCUCGUGAGAUUUAUUAUGUAUCGUUACAAGCGCCGCGCGGAAUGCGAUCAAGUAUGCGCGGCAAUAUCGUGUUUGAGCUUUGUGUUAACUGAAUUUUCCAUCACGCGGUAAGCAUCACCGCGACCGAAACUUCUGAUCAAGUUCUAUUAGAUAUUAUAGAAUGUGCUGCGCGUGCAAUGAUUAAGCUACAGUGGUAUAAAUAUUCGGGGAUCAAUAAGGGGCGCAAAGGAGUACAAUCGAUAGUAUCGAGAGAACUCGAAGACGAUGCAAAUGUACUGUAAUUAAAGCGGCGACGGCAGCAAAGAAGGAUUGGCCUAACUGCUCCCGGUUACCGAUACCAGAAAUUUAUUGCAGGAGAAGAAAGA
rnacentral:lncRNA from 1 species